rnacentral:tRNA from 1 species
GACAGUGUGGUGUAGUGGUUUGAGCAUUGGACAAUGACUCUGGAGACUAGGGUUCAAAUCCCUGCUUGGCCA